CCCUUAGAUGUUCUGGGCCGCACGCGUGCUACACUGAGUGGAUCAGCGGGUCAGGUUGCGCGAAAGUGUUUCCUAAUCUUGAAAUCCGCUCGUGAUGGGGAUUGACGGUUGCAAUUUUCCGUCAUGAACGAGGAAUACCUUGUAAGCGCGGGUCAUCAUCCCGCGCUGAAUACGUCCCUGCCCUUUGUACACACCGUCCGUCGCUCCUACCGAUUGAGUGGUCCGGUGAGGCUUUGGGAUCUGAGCGGAAAGAGCGUUUCGCUGUUUCUGCUCGGAAAACUCAGUCGAACCUUAUCAUUUAGAGGAAGGAGGAGUCGUAACA
rnacentral:rRNA from 1 species